rnacentral:rRNA from 1 species
CCUACGGGUGGCUGCAGUGGGGAAUAUUGCACAAUGGGCGCAAGCCUGAUGCAGCCAUGCCGCGUGUGUGAAGAAGGCCUUCGGGUUGUAAAGCACUUUCAGCGGGGAGGAAGGCGGUGAGGUUAAUAACCUCAUCGAUUGACGUUACCCGCAGAAGAAGCACCGGCUAACUCCGUGCCAGCAGCCGCGGUAAUACGGAGGGUGCAAGCGUUAAUCGGAAUUACUGGGCGUAAAGCGCACGCAGGCGGUCUGUCAAGUCGGAUGUGAAAUCCCCGGGCUCAACCUGGGAACUGCAUUCGAAACUGGCAAGCUAGAGUCUUGUAGAGGGGGGUAGAAUUCCAGGUGUAGCGGUGAAAUGCGUAGAGAUCUGGAGGAAUACCGGUGGCGAAGGCGGCCCCCUGGACAAAGACUGACGCUCAGGUGCGAAAGCGUGGGGAGCAAACAGGAUUAGAUACCCUUGUAGUC